UUACCUCAUUUAUUCAUAUAUAUUCAAGAAAGUUGUGUAUAUCCAGAAAACCAUGUAUACAGCUAUAAUACAGUGUUUUUUCAUUACUAUAUAUAAGCUUCUACUCAUUUCCAUGCUUCACUGCAAUGCUCGCUUAGUCGCACUUUAAAGCUCUGGUGCCGCUUAAAACAACCUUUACCUCAUGGAACACCCACAGAAUUGAGACGGUUCAAAAGAGUGUGCAUUAAUGGACACAAUGUGAUCUUGUUUGAAAAUGGAUACACAAUAAUGAUGCAAAGUGAAAAAUUAUAACAGUGAUUUAAGUUUUUAAUAUACUAUAUUUGUAACUUGUAUCUUUUAAUUACCUAUCUAACUAAAUAAAGAGCAAUCAGUUCUUUCAAACACUUGCUGAAA